AGAGUUUGAUCAUGGCUCAGGAUGAACGUUGGCGGUGUGCCUAAUACAUGCAAGUCGAACGGAGUUAAUAGCAAUAUUGACUUAGUGGCGAACGGGUGAGUAACGCGUUGGUGAUCUGCCUCGAAGUGUGGAAUAACGUUCCGAAAGGAACGCUAAUACCGCAUGUGCUCUCGAUUUUUAGAAAGUUGAGAGUAAAGGAUUUAUUCGCUUCGAGAGGAGCCUGCGUCCCAUCAGCUGGUUGGUAGGGUAACGGCCUACCAAGGCUAUGACGGGUAGGGGACCUGAGAGGGUGGCCCCCCACAAUGGAACUGAAACACGGUCCAUACACCUACGGGUGGCAGCAGUAGGGAAUAUUAGAAAUGGACGAAAGUCUGAUCUAGCAACACCGCGUGUGCGAAGAAGGCCUUCGGGUCGUAAAGCACUUUUUGGAAGGAAUAGGAAGGAAUGUACUUCCAGAAUAAGUCUCGGCUAACUACGUGCCAGCAGCCGCGGUAACACGUAGGAGGCGAACGUUAUCCGGAUUUACUGGGCGUAAAGCGCGUGUAGGUGGUUCUGUAAGUAGGGCGUGAAAGCUCCCGGCUCAACUGGGAGAGGCCGUUCUAAACUACAGAACUAGAGGAUGGUAGAGGGAGGUGGAAUUCCAGGUGUAGCGGUGGAAUGCGCAGAUAUCUGGAGGAACACCAGUGGCGAAGGCGGCCUCCUGGACCAUUCCUGACACUCAGACGCGAAAGCUAGGGUAGCAAACGGGAUUAGAGACCCCGGUAGUCCUAGCCCUAAACGAUGUAGACUAGGCGUCGGUGGUUUAAUCACCAUCGGUGUCCAAGCUAACGCGAUAAGUCUACCGCCUGGGGACUACGGCCGCAAGGUUAAAACUCAAAGGAAUUGACGG
rnacentral:rRNA from 1 species